rnacentral:tRNA from 1 species
ACCCCAUCAGAUUGAAUUGCAAAUUCACGGAGGAGUUUUAUUUUGCUCUGGGGUU